UCAAAUGGAAAAGCAGUACAUUAAGGAGCCAGAGGAGCCUCAGCAGUCCCUCUGCAGCAUCCUGGCCAAGCAACAAACCUGAGAUGCAAGCUUGGGUCAAGCCACAAGACUGGUUCCUUAGUCCCCACAGGUCUUGUUUGUCCUCAACAGUGCCCAGGGAAAUGAAUCUCUUCUAAAAUUGCAGAUCUGUAUGUUACAUAUGCUACAUGGAAGCAUAUUCUCCUGAAGAAAAGAUAUUACUGAGUAGAGAUCUUACCAGCAGAAACUAAAUAAAUGAAGCUGC